rnacentral:rRNA from 1 species
UCAGUAACGGCGAGUGAAGCGGCAACAGCUCAAAUUUGAAAUCUGGCUCCCUCGGUGCCCGAGUUGUAAUUUGUAGAGGGUGCUUCGGCGUCGGCCCGGGCCUAAGUUCCUUGGAACAGGACGUCACAGAGGGUGAGAAUCCCGUACGUGGCCCCCGGCCUUCACCAAGUGAGGCCCCUUCGACGAGUCGAGUUGUUUGGGAAUGCAGCUCUAAAUGGGAGGUAAAUUUCUUCUAAAGCUAAAUACCGGCCAGAGACCGAUAGCGCACAAGUAGAGUGAUCGAAAGAUGAAAAGCACUUUGGAAAGAGAGUCAAAAAGCACGUGAAAUUGUUGAAAGGGAAGCGCUUGCAGCCAGACUUGCCCGCAGUUGCUCACCCAGGCUUACGCCUGGUGCACUCUUCUGCGGGCAGGCCAGCAUCGGUUCGGGCGGUCGGAUAAAGGCCCCGGGAAUGUGGCCCCUCUCGGGGGGUGUUAUAGCCCGGGGUGCAAUGCGGCCAGCCCGGACCGAGGACCGCGCUCCGGCUAGGAUGCUGGCGUAAUGGCCGCAAGCGGCCCGUCUUGAAACACGGACCAAGGAGUCUAACAUCUAUGCGAGUGUUUGGGUGUCAAGCCCGGGCGCGCAAUGAAAGUGAACGGAGGUGGGAACCCCUCGGGGUGCACCAUCGACCGAUCCUGAUGUCUUCGGAAGGAUUUGAGUAAGAGCAUAGCUGUUGGGACCCGAAAGAUGGUGAACUAUGCCUGAAUAGGGUGAAGCCAGAGGAGACUCUGGUGGAGGCUCGCAGCGGUUCUGACGUGCAAAUCGAUCGUCAAAUUUGGGCAU